UGGAAGUGGAAAAGUGAGCCUCAAGCAAUACUCGGAAUAUUUUAAACAAAGGGGGCUUGUAGAGCUUACUUAUCCCUAUUUGUUCAAAGCAUUGGAUACAAAUGGAGAUGGCAGACUCGAUUUCAAUGAAUAUAUCACUGUCUACUACCUCUGCAUGAACAAUAAGAUGAUAUUUUGUGAAGAAUGCGGGGUCUUUCUCUCUGGAUCCUACAUGAGUUGCCUUCAAUGCUUCGAUAAUGAUUCUGGGGAUCCCUAUAAUAUUUGUUAUGAUUGUUAUAACAGAAACAACAUUGAUCAUCAUAAGGAUGCUACCUUUGUCGAUGAUAUAAAACUCCAGUGCUUAGCAGUUAAAGGUUCUGCAGAUAACAAUGGCUCCACAACUCGAAGCUCCGGUGGUAAGGUACGUAUAUAUAAUAAAAUAUAGUUCUGUUACUCUUAGAAAUAUCAAACAACAAAUCUUCAUGCAUAUAAUAAUUAAGAUCCAUCUUGAUUUUUCAGAUAACUACGAGGGAUAAGCUUAGAACAGCUUUAUUAGUGGUCUCGGCGGUGAAAUUAGGAGUGGUUGCAUCAAGUUGUUCUGUCAUGUAAAAUGUAUAUUUUGCAGCCUUCAAAAAAAAAAGAGAGAGCUGUAUAACUUCAGUGCUUGGCUAUACCUCUUGUUGUUUUAAUUUCAUUUUAUAACUAGAUAAAGGCCCGCGCGCAACGUGUGAGAUUAUUUUAUUGUUAUUUUCCACUAUAAUCUUCUUGAUAAAUGAAAAUAAAUAGUUAUCGCUGCAGUCUAAUUUUUAAUAUUGUGAAUUUAAAUUUUAAAAGUGUACCAAUGUCUUGGCAUAAGUUGUCUAAUCUAAUCGUAAAUGAAAAUGAUAGAUAAGAAAACCGCUAAGGAAUAUAUCUGAGUAUUGUAUGUCCCCUACCAAAGAAAAUUACACAUUAUCCAAUAGGUUAAUAGGAUAAAUCAAUUAAAAAAAAGAUAAUGGUGGAAGAAAAGAGUGCCAAGUCAGAUUUUUAAUGAUAUUUUUUUAUUUUAGGAUUAUAUAAAUAUGUAGAAUACAUAUAGAUAAUAAAAUAUGCCAUUUUAAAUCAUAUUCAAGCAUAACAAAACAAAUUUUAAAAAUUUCAAUCAAAUUUAAAUUCCUUAAUAUUACUAAUUAAUUCACUUUUUUAUUCAAAUAUAAGUUUGAUAAUUUAAAUCCAUCGAUUUGAAAUUAAAAUAUUGAAUCUAAAAUUUUUAUUUGAUCUAUAAAUAUAACAAAAAAAAAAAAAAAAGAGAGAGAGAGAAUUUUCUAAGUUUGAAAAUUGAAUUUAUGCUCACAAAGAGGCUUCUUGCCCAUAUAUUGAGUUUGUCGCCAAUAAAGUAGUAACAAUUGCUGAUUAUAAGCUUCAUUUUAAUAUUUCCUUUGGAAUAGAAAAUUUGUAUGUUUAGACUUAAAUUAGUUCAUGUUGAACUUAGAAUAAAAAUAAAAAUGCAUGUUUAAAUUCAAAAAAUCAAUUUUAGUUUCCAUAUAGCUUAUAAAGUUUUUUUUUUAACUUAUAAAGUUAAAAAUUUAAAACCUAGAGUCAUUGUGUGUAUAUACAUAAGUGUGCCCUAAUUGCCGUUUCAACAAUUAUUUCUUUGUGUAAUAGAAUUGGAACCUUAGGCUCAAUUAUCAAUUGUUAGUCCUUAUGAUAGGAUAGGAUAGGAAAUGUCAGUGCUUUCGCAAGUGUACGAAAUCGCUACAAGUAAUAUAGAAUGAGUAGAGUAUCGUGUCCACAGUGAUUGUAUACCAAGUACCAAAAUUAUGUUAACCUACUAUUAUUUAAACGGCAAUAAGGGAUAUUAUUUUUAGAAACUAAAUUCAACAAAUAAAAGAGAAUAAGAAGAAAUCAAGCAACAAUAUUUGAUUAAAAUAAAUCAAGAAUUUAAAGCUAUCAAGGAUUUUGACUUCACUUAAUUCUAUCCAAUUUAUUUUAUUAGUUUGAUAAUCAAUUUUAAUUGUUCAAGUAGGGGAAACAACCCUAAAAUCAUAACAAGCUCUCCUGAUAUAUUGUUAGCUAUUUUAACCCGGUCUAAUUACCUAUCUUCCAAUAGCGCAAUCAAACAUGAAUUAAAUCAUUAAAUUUUAUGGUUUGUUUUGUGCAUUCAUAACUUAAGGUUAUUAACUUAUGAAAACCCCCCAUGAGUCAAACCAUAUAGCUUUCGCAUCAAGUUAUUAUUAUCAUGUAAUUUAUUACUUUUUUCAUAUCAAAAACCUUUCUCCCGAUAGUGAUUAAUGAAAUAAAUCAAUCCAGGGGAGAAACUCUGCAUAGAAGCAUUAAGUUCAAUAAUAAUUUAUACUUUAAACAAAGAAAAGCAAAUCUAAUAUUAUAAAUUGGAAAAGAAAUUAAGCUACAUCAAAUCCCUAGUAUGAGAGUUUAGUUAAACAUGGUACUUAAAUAAAACUCAAUAAUACUUGAUAAAAGUUUUAUAAUCAAUAAGAAUAAUGAAAGAAAUAAACAAGAUUAAGAGUUUAGAAAUAAGAACUAGUUAAUAAUUGACUUCGGAUGGCUUCCUUGAAUCUUGGCACAACUCUUGAAUGCUUGAACUCUUGAAGAAAUAAAACUAUGAGAAUGAGAGAUAUAUGAGAUGGGAUGGAAUGGGAUUGUAUGGGAUUUGGGAUCCUUCCUCUCUUUAUAUAGACUUCUUGGGAUAGAACUUCUACAUUGUUUAGGGAAUAAAGUUCUCAUUAGGCCUAAAAUUUCUCUCAAUCAUGUCUCUUCCAUGUGCAUAAAUUAGAACUUGAUUUGCAUGUUAAGAAAGUAUCCAAGGUGAGCUCAUGAAAAUGAUAAGGAAUGGUUGGAAAUUUUGACUCAAAUCAACACUUGGUAUUUAGCACGGGCGUGGUGGGAAGCACGGUCUGGGCGUGCCAAGUUCUGAGUCUAUGGGGAGUUCAGCAUGGGCCGUGCUUAGAGGCACGCUUGGAUAAGGACUUGUGGCACGGGCGUGCUAGGGAGCACGGCUUGGGCGUGCUAGGCUCUGAGUCUCCACUUGAUUUUCCUUGAUUCCAGCACGGGCGUGCUGAUGUGCAAGGCUUGGGUGUGCUAGAGCCUGAGUGUUUUGCUUUAUUUUGCUCUUUUCUAUGCCAAAACCCUACAAAUUUCCUAAAGACCAAGUGAAUUAUGAUUCAAGAAAGCUUUUAUAUCAAAACAUAAAUAAAAUUAAGAUAAAAACUAAAUAAAGUAAUUAAAAAGACUAAAAACUCCUAAUAAAACUAUAUUGAAAACAUUAUAAAAAUAACACUAUCAAAAUUCCCCAAACUUAAACCAUUGCUUGUCCUCAAGCAAAAAAACUAAAAACUAACAAAGCUAGCUUAAUAUGGUAGGGAAUAAUUAUUCACAAUUUCAUAAGUAUCAAAAGUCAUUAACAUGAGAAUAAAUCAUGUGUUUCCUAUGCUAAUUAUAUUCUAGCAGAAAAAAAUUAAUUUUCAAUAAAACACAUUCCUUAAUUUAAACAUAAGUUAACAAGAUUUUUAACACCAACAAUUAUUCAACUUAUGAUAGGUAGAUAUGAAUUUUCACAAAAAUCAUUUAACCUUUAAAUAAGAGGUUUAAAUAUAAGCUCAACAUUCCCAUAGGUAAAAUUAGUCAUUCCUUCUCCACAAUUGAAAUGCAUACAAUUUAAAAGAUCAAAAUGUCUUUAUUUAGAUUGUAAUGGGGUUUUAAGGAUAUAAUUUUAGCUAAACAAAGAAAAGGACAACACGGUAGAUAAAAGUACAAAGAAUGCUUAAUAUCAUGAUUUUCAUUUAUAUUAAAAAUGAAUUUUUUUUUUUAUUUGUAAAGGGAGACUAACUUUGAAGUCCCUUACUAGCUUGAAAUUAGAGGCAUUUUUGGCAAGGUCUCUUCAUAGCAUUUUUGAUAAUUUCUUCCUUGCUAAAGUUCCCCAAAUUUGAAUUUUUGAUUCCUUGUUUCUUUUAUGGGGUGUUCCUUUUUUUUUUUUUUUUUUGUUUUUUUUUCUCUGCUUUCUUCAUUUGCUAGUAUUAAUGAAAUUUUCUCCAUUUGUUGCUAUGUUUUAAUAAAAAUCAAAUCCUUCAAUUACACAUUAUUGCCCUUAGGGUAGGAAAUUAAUUUGGUUUAAUGGCUAGGUUUAAAUACGGGUGAACAAUAAAUUUUUGAUAUAGGCUUCAAAUUAGUUGCAAAUGUCAUACUUUAACUUAUGGGGUCUAGGCUAAAUAUGAAAUUUUAACAAAAAAUGCUUAAAUCAUCUCUUUAUAAAUGUAAGCAUUUAAAUUUUUGUCUUGAAGAGAAUUUUAAUUUGUUCUAGGAAUGCCAAGGUUAAAUAAAUUUUGAUUAAAACACAUCUAUAUAUCAUAGAAUUCACAAAAUUAAUGUUUAUAAUCUUAGAAAUAAAUAGUUAAAUCAAAAAAUCAUGUUAAGUCAAAAAUUAAAAUUUAAGCUGAAAAAUAAUUAACUUCGCAACUAAAUUCAUUGCAAGUUAAUGAAUUAUGAUAAUUUUUUAAACUUUCUCACAAUUAUUCCAACCAUAUUAAAUUAAUGAAAUAAACAAACAAAAUAAUAAAAAAAAUUAAAAUUUUAACUAAAAUUUUCCUUUCCCCAACUUAAUCUAGCACAUUAUCCCCAAUGUGUGCAAAAAUAAGAUCAAUUCUCCAAACUUAUCAUAAUUCAUCAAUGCAAGGUAAGAAAACAAAAAUAAAGUAGAAAAUGCCUUACCACCAUUGUAUUGACAAAUACAAUAAAAGACAAGGAAACAAAGGGCAUGAUUCUAAUGGCUAAAUUCUUAAAAUAUGAAAGGACAAGAUAACACAAUAAUAAUAAUAAUAAUAUAGACCUAAUUGUUAAGGAAAGAAAGAAGAAAAAAUUGAAAUAAAAAAAUAAUUAAAAAAAUAAAAAAAAAUUUCCUAUAAAAAUAAUUAAAAGCAAAUAAUUAAAGACAAAAAAAAAAAAGUGAACGGUAAGUCAAAAAGAAAGAAAGAAAGAAAGUGGGUAGAGUAGGACAAAAAAAAAAAGAAAAAAAAAAAAAGAAAGAAAGAGAAAAAAAAUAGAGUAAAAAAAAAAAAGUUGCACAGCCAAAGUAAUGAGGUGCACCUGACCGUGCUGCCUGGGAGUGCUAGGUAGCACGGGGGUGCUGAUAAGCACGCUCUGACCGUACUAGAGUCUGACUAUGGACGCAUUUUUCUCUGAAAACAGCACAGGGAUGCUAGGCAGCACGCCCUGACCAUGCUAGAGCCUGACUCUGGCACUUCCAAUCAAAUUUUAAGCCUUUUUAAUCCUAUUUUUGACCUGCAAUAUAAGUACAAAACACCAAAAUAGAAGAAAAUAAUGGUUUAAAGAUGGGAGAACAAAAUGAAAAAUACAAGUAAUAAUAAAAUAAAAUAAAGAUUGCAAAGAAAGAGAAAGAAAAUGAUGGAUUGCCCCCCAUUAGCGUUUGGUUUAAAGUUUUUAAACUCGACUUUUGAGAAGUUUAUCAAAUAACGGCAUUCGCCCAUAGUAUGUAUCAUGUAGUAUCACACAUGGGUCUUGGUUAAAAAUACCCUCAAGAUUGACUAGUUUGAGAAAAUUUAUGCUCAUCAUAUCAACAACAUCUCGCUUUGAAUGAUGAACUUGGGGAAAAAUCUGUAUUAGAUCAUGGAGAACUCAAUUUAUUAAAGGUGGUAUUAUUGGAAAUAAAAUAUCUUCUGGUGGUGUAUAUAUAAAGACCAUUGAUGAGCUCAAAUCAAUAGUCUCAAUUAUUUCUUCAUCCACUCAUAUUGCUUUCUGCUUGUUGUCAUUUAGACUCUCACCCAAGGUCCCUUCCAACCGUACCUCAUUUUUUUUAUGGUCAUUAAUAAUUAUGUCUGGAAAUAAGAAAUUGAGAUUUAAUCCGUUUUCAAAGGAAUAACAUUUUUCACAUGUAGGCUUUACUUCUUCUAAAUAUGCAAUUUCCCAUGAAGUUUUCGCAGGAUUCGCCUUACACUCAUCAUCUUUAUAUCUAUUAAUUGCCAUGGUUAUUAAUUCCGUUGCUUGUACCUCCAAAUUCUUUAUUGCUGCUUGUUGGAUCUUAAAACUCUCGCGAGUGUCAUUCAUAAAUUCAAUGUGAGAUGUAGUAAGGGCAACAAUCAAAUCCUCUAAAUUCUUUUGUUUUUCUUCUUCAUAUUUAAAAUUUUGAGGAUAUUGGUGAUUCCAACCCUGCAGUGAAUGAUCCCAAUGCCAACGGUAGUCAAAAUCUGCCAUAUCAUUUAACAUAUAUAGUACAUCUUCAUAGCUGCUUUCCACAAGGUGAAUACCGGUUGCAGAAAAUCCAUUAGCUACCCAAUUUCUAGUUUCUUCAUCUAAUCCACAAUAGAAUAUGUAAGUGAGAUAUUUAUUUUUGUAAAAUUAUGACAAGAAAAUCUCUCCAACAAUUCAUUAAAUCUUGCCCAAGCUGCAUAAAAUGAUGCCUCUAAAUGUUGUUGAAUAAAACUUGCGACUACUUGUUGAUGAAACAUCUCAAAAUACUUCGCAAGAAAAAUAAAAAAAAUCGAUAAAAUAAAGAAAAACUAGAAAUAAUAUAAACAAAUAUUUCAAUUAACCAACAAAAAAAAUGUCUAAAUUAAUAAUAGGUUAAUUAGUAUUGAUAUUGGUAACGCCAAUCCCCGGCCACGGCGCCAAAAACUUGAUAGUGUUUUCCCAAGUGUACAAAAUCGCUACAAGUAAUAUAUGAUGAGUAGAAUAUCGUUCCCACGAGGAUCGUAUACCAAGUACCAAAAUUAUGUUAACCUAUUAUUAUUUAAACGAUGAAGAAUUUGUUUCAAGAAUUUAAAUUCAACAAGUAAAAUAAGAAAAGAUCAAGCAAGCAAUUAUUGAUUAAAGAAAUCAAGGAUUUAAAACUACUAUGGAUUUUGAUUUCACUUAAUUCUAUCCAACUUUAGUUCAUUAAUCAAUUUUAAUUGUUCAAGUAGGAGAAAUAACUCUACAUUCACUAACAAGCUCUCCCGAUGUAUUAUUAGCCAUUUUAAUUCCGUUUAACCAUCUAUCUUCCAAUAGCACAAUCAAUCAUGAAUUAAAUCAUUAAGUUCUGUAGUCAUUUAUGAUUCAUAAAUUAAGGUUGUUAAUUCAUGAAAAACUCCCCAUGAGUCAAACCAUAUAGCUUCCGCGUCAAGUUGUUAUUCUCAUGUGAUUCAUUAACUUUUUCAUAUUAAAAANNNNNNNNNNNNNNNNNNNNNNNNNNNNNNNNNNNNNNNNUUCUGCCUGGAAGCAUUAAGUUUAUUAAUGAAUCAUAACUUAAACAAAGAAAACAAAUCUAAUAUUAUAAAUUGGAAAAGAAGUUAAGCUACAUUAAAUCCCUAGUAUGAGAAUUUAGUUAGACAUAGUACUUAAAUAAAACUCAAUAAUACUUGAUAGAUAUUCCAUGAUCAAUAAGAAUAAUGAAAGAAAUAAACAAGAUUAAGAAUUUAGAAAUAAGAACUAGUUAACAAUUGGCUUGGAUGACUUCCUUGAACCUUUGCACAACUCUUGAAUGCUUGAACUCUUAAAAAAAGUAAAACUAUCUACAAGACUAAGAGAAUGAGAUGGAAUUGAGUAGAAUGAUAUGGGAUAUGAUAUCCUUCCUCUCUUUAUAUAGACUUCUUGGGAGAGAACUUCUAUAUUGUUUAGGGAAUAAAUCCACAUUGUUUAGGAAAUAAAUUCCAACUUGUUUAGGGAAUAAAGUUCUCAUUAGGCUUUAAAUUUCUCUCAAUCAUGUCUCUUCCACGUGCAUAAAUUAGAACUUGAUUUGCAUGUCUAGCAGAGCUGUAAAACCAUAUCUAGCGGCCCUAGAUAAAAAGAAAACUGUACAGCUUUUAGCAGUUGGGUACAAUUGGCUUAUUUUACUCUUAUAAUAACUCUCACGGGAAUCAUCUCUUCAUUAAUAAGAAUGUUGAUGCUCAUGAAUUCAUUAUUUGCCCUUCUUGUUAUGACAUUUCACAAUCUGUUUGAUAUUUCUUAUAUUUUCCAUCAAAUGAUCAAUUUUGUUUAAUUAUUACAUCAAGUUAUCCGUUUGUGUGAAUAAUCUGUUAAUAAUUAAUCAUUAGUUUCACAAUCUUGUCUUUGACUGGUUCUUUGUUGUAUCUUUGUCGUUUUGUGUUUCACUAUUUUCCACACAGGAUAGACCAUGGAAGUUUCGUACUUAGGCUCAAGCAACCCGCCAUUGCCCAUAUGCAAGGCUGUAUUCGACAAUGACAUUAAAACAAGAACCAGUCAACUAAGAAAAAAAUAUAUUAAAAGAAAUUCCAAUAUACCUAAGAUUAAUCGAUCAUUGUAAAUGACCUUCAAUUUAGAAGAGAGAAUAUAAUACACAGAUGAUGGAAGAGAUAUCAGAGACAGCAAAAGCUUAUUAUGCAAACUUAUCAGAAAAGCAGAAGCGAUUAGCAAAAGAUUUUUUCAACGAAAUGGAUAAAGAUGGAGAUGGAAAAAUUACUUUCGAUGAAUAUGAGCAAUACAUUAAGACAAAGAAAGGCUUUAAAACAAUUGCUUCUUCGGAUUUCUUUAGGAAGCUCGAUAAGGACGGAAAUGGCUCAUUGGAUUUCGAAGAAAUUUGUGACUGUACACUACAAAUGCGCAAGCGAAAGAGUUUUCUAUUGCGAUGAGUGUAGAGUCUUUCUUGAUAGAGUCUAUUUUACUUGUGUCCAGCGCUUCAAUGGCUCCGGUAAUACUUAUGAUCUCUGUGUUUCUUGCUAUCGCGAUAAGAAUAUCAUUAAUCAUCACAAGGAUGCUGUGUUUCUCGAUAAUUACACGAUGCUGCAAGCCAAGAGGAAUCAGAAUAAUGCAUCAGCAAGUAAGGUAAAAUAUUUUGAAAAUUCAGAUAUAAUCUUGAAAUUCAUAUUUUAAAGUAUUUUACUUUCCUGGAAAUAAUUAAAUCUGUAUUAUGAUGUUUAUCUUUUACCAGGGAAACAAAGGAGUUGAGGAGACCGUUGAACUUGCAACGUUUGGUAUUGAAACUACGUCUAAUGUUGUUAACUUAUGUAACCAAUUGUAAAUUUGCUCAAAAGAAAUCUUCUGGAUUGUUGUGUUUUUUCUUUUUAAACACAUCUUCGCUCAAAUAGUACAUGAAGAUUGUAUUUGUGUAGCUUAUUAUUGAGUAUAUAUUCAAUUUCCAAGUACUUUUCCUGGAAUGGGAUAGAGGGAUAACCAUUGAAGACUUUUGUAAACGUCUACAGGUCUGUGAAACAGCUUGUACAUAAUUUACGACUCUGCGCCUUUGUCAUUGACCUUGGACUUGGUAAGUCGUCUCCUGUUACCUUUUUCUCAAUUUGUGACUUACUUCAUAAGAAAGAAAGACUUAGACGACGCCUAAAAUGGUCUCACUGGACUACAGAAUUGUGGAAGACCGUGUUCAUUUGUGAGAAAAAUAAUUAGUUUUCCAAAAGAAUAGGUUACAGUGGCUCAUUUUUUAUAUAGGAAAUUCCCUUUACCAUUUUCUAGAGGAUUCUGUAAUUACAUUUGUAAUUCUUUUUCGCAUAAAUGAAGAGUUCGUAAUUUGUUUUUAAAUAGAUAAUUAAAUCCAGUUUUUAAAUAGAUAAUUAAAUCAAGUUAAUUCUCAUCUCAAAAUAAAAAAUCUAGGUAAUUGUAAUUAAUAAGAUAAUUGAAAUAGUUUACAUAUACGACAUAUUACUGUUUACUCAAUGUUCUAAAACUUGAUUGUCAAUAUUUUCUGAAACCAUUAUCGUUCAAGAAAAAUAAAUGAGUUAAGGUUGUAUUAGAGAAUAAUUUUUAAAUGGCUUUUUUAAAAAUAUCAUGGCAUUGGAACUAACUUUUUAGAGGUUACGGUAGCAUUGUGCGAAAAGUUAAUUUAUAUAACGUUUAACUCUUGGCGUUUCAUGAAAAGAUAUUCAAACAGUUAACAGCUAAACGCUAUUAAAACAGCAAAUUUUGCCAAACAAACCCUAAGUUUAAUGAACAAUUUAUAAUUUUCUUACUUUGACUUUCAUUUAAUCAAAUAUUUGAAAUGUUUUAAGAUCAGCUGUAUUUCUUAAUACACAGUGUGGAUUUGUUUUAGUAAUUAUUUGAUCUCAAGUUUGUAAAAUUAAGGGUUGAGAUAUUUGACAAUAAGAAAUUUUAAGCAAAUGAAUAUAAGAAAAAAAAAAGAAAAUUUUAAAGUAAAAGUGGCAUUUGUAAUGCAUAAAUUAAAGAAAACAUUUUGAAAUAAAAAAAAAAACUGAGAAGUAUUUAAUUAUUUUUUUUUCUUAAUUUUAAAUUCCAAGUUGACGAAACAAGGGAAAAGUCGUCCAUAACUAUACCCACCGUCUAAUUUUUUUUUCCUUUUUAUUUUUAAAUGAAUAUAUUUAUAUUCAUAAAAAUCUGUAAUUAGAAUCUUUUCUGUCCUUGACGAAAAGGCCAAUUCAACUUGUGGAAAAGCUUGAAGAGACCAGCUGUUGGCAACUGCAAUUAGCAGCCAUUUAACAAUUCCUUUGCAGUUGAGUAUUCAAUUCAACUCAACUCAACUUGUGGAAACUUUUGAAAAAAAAAAAAAAAAAGAAAAAGAAAACUCAACUUGUGGAAAAUGUAUUUGAAUAUGUAUAUAUAUAUAUAUAUAUAUAUAUAUUACUAUAUAAAGUAAAAAAAAAUAUAUAUAUAUAUAUAUUUUUUACUUUAUAUAGUAAUAUGAUAUCAUGGAACUCAUACUGCUGCGAACACUGCAUCGACCUUUUCGGACCAUGGAAGUAAUUUUGCUGAUGUCGCAUCCAAUGUUUCGGAACAUGGAAGUAAUUUUGCUGAGCAUUUAAGUACUGCUGCUGAACUUGCAUCAAAUUGUUCUGUCAUGUAAAAUGUAUAUUUUGCAGCCUUCAAAAAAAAAGAGAGCUGUAUAACUUCUGUGCUUGACUAUAUUUCUUGUUGUUUUAAUUUUAUUUUAUAACUAGAUAAAAGCUUGCCCAACGCGUGGAAUUAUUUUAUUGUUAUUUUCCACUGUAAUCUUCUUAAUAAAUGAAAAUAAAUAGUCAUCGCUGCAGUCUAAUUUUUAAUAUUGUGAAUUUAAAUUUAAAAAGUGUACCAAUGUCCAAACAUAAGUUGUCUAACCUGAUUGUAAAUUUAAAUACUAGAUUAGAAAAGUACUAAGGAACGUAUCUGAGUAUUGUAUGUCCCCUACCACAGAAAAUUACACAUUAUCCAAUAGGUUAAUAUGAUAAAUCAAUUAAAAAAAAAAAAAGAUAAUGGUGAAAGAGGAGAGUGCCAAGUCAGAUUCUUAAUGAUAUAUAUAUAUAUAUAUGUUUUAAUUUUACGAUUAUAGAUAGUAAAAUAUGCCAUUUUAAAUCAUAUUCAAGCAUAACAAAACAAAUUUAAAAUUUCACUCAAAUUUAAAUUCCUUAAUAUUACUUAAUUAAUCCAUUUUUUUUAUUCAAAUCUAAGUUUGAUAAUUUAAAUCCAUCGAUUUGAAAUUAAAACAUUGAAUAUAAAAUUUUUAUUUGAUCUAUAAAUAUUAAAAAAAGAGAAAAUUUUCUAAGUUUGAAAAUUAAAUUUAUGCUCACAAAGAGGCUUCUUGCCCAUAUAUUGAGUUUGUCGCGAAUAAAGUAGCAUAAAUUACCGAUUAUAAGCUUCAUUUAAUAUUUACUUUUGAAUAGAAAAUUUAGAUGUUUAGACUUUAAUUAGUUCAUGUUGAAAUUAGAAUAAAAAUGAAAAUGCAUGUUUAAAUUCAAAAAUUUAUUUUCCAUACAUAUUAAAUUGAUUUUGAAAUUAAAAGUAGAAUGAGUUUAAAAUGUAAAUAAAUAAUAUACUAUUUGCUUUUGCAAACUUUAUUUUUACUUGUAAAAUCAAAAAUUUAAAACCUGGAGUUAGUUGCCUGUAUAUACACAAGGGCGCCCUAAUUACCACUUGCAACCUUAGGCUCAAUUAUCAAUUGUUAGUCCAUAGGGUCUGGUCUGUAGCUUAAAAUUAAGCUUAUUCACGUUUCAAAUUCAAUGAUUAGCUAUGAGGGAAAUAGGAUAGGAUAGGAUAGGAAAUAUUAUCCUGUUUGCAUUCAGACAACACUUCAAAUCUGUUUACGCUUCCCAAGUCAAAUUGCUACUACUAUCUUACAAUUUGUCAAGCAGCCUUUAUGGAACCGUCGGGAGUAAAUAUAUGUUUUGGAGUUUGAUUUAUAAUUUUACUGCUUGUAUUUGUGUCACACCCGUUGAAAAUAUAUAUUAAAUAAAUUUAUAUUCUCAAAUUCUAAUCAAUUUAAAUUUGAAAUUCAUUUAAAAUACAUUUUGUUGCUAAUAAUGAUGAGUAGCUAUUAUCAAAAUCUUAUUUAAUACAGUAGGUAAUGAGUAGCAUAUUGUUAAAAUAGUAAUUUUACUGUUUGUACCGGUUCCAAACCUCUCUAUAACUAUUCAUAUCUUUUUUAAAUAAAAUGAAAGAGUUGAGAAAUAUCCUCAAAUACAUGUUACAUUCUUUUCGGUAAGGACAAUGAUUUAUAAAUUUUAAUAAUAUAAUUAUGAUUUACAAAACAUUUGUAAUUUAAUUUCAUAUGAAUUUGAAUUAAUUAUUAAAACCCAUCACUAUUUAAUUAGUUUUUUCUUAAUUUUAAAUUCCAAUUGGACAAAACAAGGGAAAACUCGUCAAUAACUAUACCCACAGUAUCUUUAGAUGGAUAAGAAUCUAAUUAGGUUCUUUCUGUCCCACACGAAAGGCCAAGUCAAUUUGUGGAAAAGCUUAAAGAGACAAAUUUAAUUUUUUAAUUUAAAAAAAAAAAAANNNNNNNNNNGAAAAGUGAGCCUCAAGCAAUACUCGGAAUACUUUAAACAAAGAGGGCUUGUAGAGCUUACUUAUCCCGAUUUGUUCAAAGCGUUGGAUACAAAUGGAGAUGGCAGACUCGAUUUCGAUGAAUUUAUCACUGUCUACUACCUCUGCAUGAACAAUAAACUGAUAUAUUGUGAAGAAUGCGGGGUCUUUCUCUCUGGAUCCUACAUGAGUUGCCUUCAAUGCUUCAAUAAUGGUUCUGGGGAUCCCUAUAACAUUUGUUAUGAUUGUUAUAGCAGAAACAACAUUGAUCAUCAUAAGGAUGCUUACUUUGUCGAUAAUAUAAAACUCCAUUGCUUCGCAGUUAAAGGCUCUGCAGUUAAUGAAGGCUCCGCAGUUAAUGAAGGCUCCGCAGUUAAUGAAGGCUCCGCAGUUAAUGAAGGCUCCGCAGUUAAUGAAGGCUCCGCAGUUAAUGAAGGCUCCGCAGUUAAUGAAGGCUCCGCAGUUAAUGAAGGCUCCGCAGUUAAUGAAGGCUCCGCAGUUAAUGAAGGCUCCGCAGUUAAUAAAGGCUCUGCAGAUAAUAAUGGCUUCACAACUCGAAGCUCCGGUGGUAAGGUAUGUAUAUAUUAUAUAAUAUAAUUCUGAUACUCUUAGAAAUAUCAAACAACAAAUCUUCAUGCAUAUAACAAUUAAUAUCCAUCUUGAUUUUUCAGAUGACUACGAAGGAUAAGCUUACAGCAGCUCUAUUAGGGGUUUCUGUGGUGAAUUUAGGAAUAAAUACUGCAAAGUUUGUGGCAACUAGUAAACCAGAAUUAUGGGAACAAGCAAAACAAGUUUUCGAUGGUCCCCAAAAAAAUACUUCAGGUGCUGCUGAAUCUGCAUUCGAAUUGUCCGAUCAUGGAAGUAAUGCUGUUAAUUCCGCAGCCGACUUGUCUGAUCAUGGAACUAAUAUUGCUGCUAACACUGCAUGGAACUUUUCGGACCAUGGAAGUAAUUUUGCGGAUGUUGCAUCCAAUUUUGCGGACCAUGGAAGUAAUGUUGCUGAUGUCGCAUCCAAUUUUCCUGACCAUUUAAGCACUGCUGUUGAAAUUGCAUCAAAUUGUACUGUCAUGUAAAAUUUAUAUUUUGCAGCCUUCAACGAAGUGUAAAAUAUCUACUUCUUUUUGUUUAAUUUCAUCUUAUAAUAAUAAAGCUUGCUGGUUUGGAUUUAGUUCCCAGGAGAUGCAGAGCUAUUUGCACAAUACUUUUUCUUAAUAAUAAAUAAUCUCGUUUUGCUGAUAAAAAAAAUAAAAUAUUCCAUUUCAAAUCAUAAUUGAACUUAUCCAUGGCCUCCCAUUCAUCAGACAACAGAACAAAAUUUUAAAUUUUCACUCAAAUUUAAAUUCCUUAAUAUUUCUUAAUUAAUUCAUUUUUCUAUUCGAAUCUAAGUUUGAUAAUUUAAAACCAUCAAUUUGAAAUUAAAACAUUGAGUAUAAAAUUUGUAUUUGAUCUAUAAAUAUAACAAAAAAAAGGAGAAAAAAAAAAUGGAAGUUUGAAAAUUAUGUUUAUGCUCGCAAAGAAGCCUUUUGCCCAUAAAAGAGUUUGUCGCCAAUAAAGAGUAAUAAAACAACUGCUAAUUAUAAGCUUCGUUUAAUAUUUCCCUUGAAAUAGAUAAUUUGGAGGUUUAGACUUUAAUUAUUUCACCUUUAAAUUAUAAUAAAAACGGAAAUGUAUGUUUAAAUUCAAAAAAUCAUUUUUAGUUAAAUUGACUUUAUAUGUUACUUCCAGACAUAUUAAACUGAUUUUAAAAUUAAAAUUAGAAUGAAUUUAAUAUGUAAUAAAUAAAUGUAUUUGCCUUUGCAAACUUUAUUUUUACUUGCAAAGUCAAAAAUUUGAAACCUAAUGUCAUCGUGUGGUGUGUGUGUACACAUAAGGGUGCCCUAAUUACCACUUCAGCAAUUCCUUAUUAAGCUUAUUAACACUUCAAAUUCAGUGAUUAGCUAUGAGGAAAAUGGGAUAGGAAAUGUUGUCCUGUUAGGAUUCAGAGAAACACUUGAAAUACAAUUUGAUACUAUCUUACAAUUUGUUAAGCAGCCUUUAUGGAAACUGUGGGAAGAACUUGAUGUCUUGCAAUUUGUUAAGCAGCCUUCGUGGAAACUGUGGGAGAGUAAAUAUAUGUUUUUCGAAUUAAUAUAGAAUGAAUAGAUCCGUCUCUUCUUCCAUUCAUCACAUAUAUCGUGAAGGAAAUCAAGCCGUAUAUCUUUUGACCACUCAUCAUAGAGUUCAUCAUACUUCUCUUUCUUUUAUCUCUUUUAAUUUUUUGCCUCAUUUGAUUAAAGGAAUUGUAUUAUUGAAAGUUAUAGGACUAAAUAUUUGAGAUAUAAAUAAAAUAAAGAUAUUUUUUGCUAAAAAAAAAAAAAUAGAUCCGAAUUUAAUUAAAAUACAUUUUAUUGCUAAUAAUGAGUAGGAUAUCCACGAGUAUCUAUUAUAAAAAAACCUGUUUAAUAUAAGCAGAUAACAGAUAAUAUAUAUCAAAAACUUAAAUGCGUAGCCCUAGCUAUUUAUACUAUAAAUAAUGAUUUUAUCGUCUGUGCCAUUUUAAACUUUUCUAUGACCAUUUGUACUUUUAUUAAAUGGAUUGGAGGAGGCGAGUAUUUUACUUGUCGGCUUCUUCCCAAUAAGGACAGCUAUUACUCAUUAGGUAGUGAAUUAUUUACUAAUUUAAUAAAAUAAAAUAUGAGUUGAUGAUUAAAAAAAAAAAAAGGUCCAAAGACGAAAGGUUCUCUGCAAUUGGCAGCUUUGAGAUUCGGUAUGAACUGUAGGGCAACUUCUUUCCAAUUGAAUAUUCAACUUUGGCCGACCAAUUGAAAUACAUGUAGGAAGCAAUAUAUACAGGGAAAAUCACAAAACCAAAAAGCAAAAGCAAAAAAUAGAAAAAAAAACCCAACGGAUAUAGAUUAAAAGAUGGAGGAGAUACGACAGGCUGCUUCAGCUUAUUACAGAAACUUGGCAACUGCAGAUAAGCAGAUGGCAAUCAAUGGGUUCAAUUUAAUGGAUAAAACUGGAAAUGGGACAAUUAGCCUCAGGCGAUAUUCAGAAUACUUCAAACAAAGAGGGCUUAUAGAGCUUACUUAUCCUGAAUUUUUCAAAGCAUUGGAUUCGGAUGGAGAUGACCGGCUUGAUUUCGAUGAAUUUAUCACUGUCUACUACCUCUGCAUGAAUAAUAAACUGAUAUUCUGUGAAGAAUGUAUGGUGUUUCUAUCUGGAUCGUACAUGAGUUGCCUUCAAUGCUUCAAUAGUGGUUCUGCUGGAAGCAUUAAGUUUAUUAAUGAAUCAUAACUUAAACAAAGAAAACAAAUCUAAUAUUAUAAAUUGGAAAAGAAGUUAAGCUACAUUAAAUCCCUAGUAUGAGAAUUUAGUUAGACAUAGUACUUAAAUAAAACUCAAUAAUACUUGAUAGAUAUUCCAUGAUCAAUAAGAAUAAUGAAAGAAAUAAACAAGAUUAAGAAUUUAGAAAUAAGAACUAGUUAACAAUUGGCUUGGAUGACUUCCUUGAACCUUUGCACAACUCUUGAAUGCUUGAACUCUUAAAAAAAGUAAAACUAUCUACAAGACUAAGAGAAUGAGAUGGAAUUGAGUAGAAUGAUAUGGGAUAUGAUAUCCUUCCUCUCUUUAUAUAGACUUCUUGGGAGAGAACUUCUAUAUUGUUUAGGGAAUAAAUCCACAUUGUUUAGGAAAUAAAUUCCAACUUGUUUAGGGAAUAAAGUUCUCAUUAGGCUUUAAAUUUCUCUCAAUCAUGUCUCUUCCACGUGCAUAAAUUAGAACUUGAUUUGCAUGUCUAGCAGAGCUGUAAAACCAUAUCUAGCGGCCCUAGAUAAAAAGAAAACUGUACAGCUUUUAGCAGUUGGGUACAAUUGGUUUAUUUUACUCUUAUAAUAACUCUCACGGGAAACAUCUCUUCAUUAAUAAGAAUGUUGAUCCUCAUGAAUUCAUUAUUUGACUUCUUGUUAUGACAUUUCACAAUCUGUUUGAUAUUUCUUAUAUUUUCCGUCAAAUGAUCAAUUUUGUUUAAUUAUUAUUACAUCAAGUUACCCGUUUGUGUGAAUUACGAUAUUAUAUCAUGCAAUAUACAAUAAUCUGUUAAUAAUUAAUCAUUAGUUUCACAAUCUUGUCUUUGACUGGUUCAUUGUUGUAUCUUUGUCGUUUUGUGUUUCACUAUUUUCCACGCAGGAUAGACCAUGGAAGUUUCGUAUUUAGGCUCAAGCAGCCCGCCAUUGCCCAUAUGCAAGGCUGUAUUCGACAAUGACAUUAAAACAAGAAUCAGUCAACUAAGAAAAGAAUAUAUUAAAAGAAAUUCCAAAAUACCUAAGAUUAAUCAAUCAUUAUAAAUGAUCUUCAAUUUAGAAGAGAGAAUAUAAUAUACAGAUGAUGGAAGAGAUAUCAGAGACGGCAAAAGCUUAUUAUGCAAACUUAUCAGAAAAGCAGAAGCGAUUAGCAAAAGAUUUUUUCAACGAAAUGGAUAAAGAUGGAGAUGGAAAAAUUACUUUCGAUGAAUAUGAGCAAUACAUUAAGACAAAGAAAGGCUUUAAAACAAUUGCUUCUUCGGAUUUCUUUAGGAAGCUCGAUAAGGACGGAAAUGGCUCAUUGGAUUUCGAUGAAUUUGUGACUGUACACUACAUAUGCGCAAGCGAAAGAGUUUUCUAUUGCGAUGAGUGUAGAGUCUUUCUUGAUAGAGUCUAUUUUACUUGUGUCCAGUGCUUCAAUGGCUCCGGUAAUACUUAUGAUCUCUGUGUUUCUUGCUAUCGCGAUAAGAAUAUCAUUAAUCAUCACAAGGAUGCUGUGUUUCUCGAUAAUUACACGAUGCUGCAAGCCAAGAGGAAUCAGAAUAAUGCAUCAGCAAGUAAGGUAAAAUAUUUUGAAAAUUCAGAUAUAAUCUUGAAAUUCAUAUUUUAAAGUAUUUUACUUUCCUGGAAAUCGAAAUAAUUAAAUCUCUAUUAUGAUGUAGGGAAACAAAGGAGUUAAGGAGACCGUUGAACUGGCAAAGUUUGGUAUUGAAACUACGUCUAAUGUUGUUAACUUAUGUAACCAAAUGUAAAUUUGCUCAAAAGAAAUCUUCUGGAUUGUUGUGUUUUUUCUUUGUAAACCCAUCUUCACUCAAAUAAUACAUAAAGAUUGUAUUUGUGUAGCUUAUUAUUAUGUAUAUAUUCAAUUUCCAAGUACUUUUCCUGGAAUGGGAUAGAGGAAUAACCAUUGAAGACUGGAUGCUUCAGCUUAUUAUAGAAGCUUGCCACCUGCAGAAAUGCAAAAGGCAAAGGAUGGGUUCAGUGCAAUGGAUAAAACUGGAAGUGGAAAAGUGAGCCUCAAGGAAUACUCGGAAUAUUUUAAACAAAGAGGGCUUGUAGAGCUUACUUAUCCCGAUUUGUUCAAAGCAUUGGAUACAAAUGGAGAUGGCAGACUCGAUUUCGAUGAAUAUAUCACUGUCUACUACCUCUGCAUGAACAAUAAACUGAUAUAUUGUGGAGAAUGCGGGGUCUUUCUCUCUGGAUCCUACAUGAGUUGCCGUCAAUGCUUCAAUAAUGGUUCUGGGGAUCCCUAUAAUAUUUGUUAUGAUUGUUAUAGCAGAAACAACAUUGAUC
rnacentral:lncRNA from 1 species